rnacentral:rRNA from 1 species
UACGAAGGGGGCUAGCGUUGUUCGGAAUUACUGGGCGUAAAGCGCGCGCAGGCGGUUCUUCAAGUCAGUGGUGAAAGCCCGGAGCUCAACUCCGGAACUGCCAUUGAAACUGUAGAACUUGAGGAUGAGAGAGGUGAGUGGAAUUCCCAGUGUAGAGGUGAAAUUCGUAGAUAUUGGGAAGAACACCGGUGGCGAAGGCGGCUACCUGGACCGGUUCUGACGCUGAUGCGCGAAAGCGUGGGUAGCAAACAGG